UUUACAUGUUUUACUGAUAGGAAAACAUUACAAAAAUUUAAUAUGUAUCAUGACACACAUUCGUAAGCCCGUUCACACACACACACACACACACACACACACACACCAGCUCAUCCUCACCACUACACACUACAAACAUCACACUUAAAUUGCACUAUAUAACCUUACACUUAAAUAUUCAGUAAAAUGCAUUGUGACUUAGCCAGGAAGAACCUCACUCUGGCUAGCAAUUAUAAUGACCCCAAAAAACACUCGCUAAUGGAUCACUUAAGUCAGAAUUACAGUUAAGACAAAAAAAAUACUUCCCUAAAUAUUACCAUUAUUAUUAUCAUUAUUAAUUAUUACAAGCAUUCCAGAUACAUAUAUACAGCAUUUUUACUAAUAUUGUUUGCCUAAUCGUAACUUCUUUUAAUACCAAGUUUGUGUUUCAUGGAUUUUAACUUAGAUUUUUAUGUUAUGUCAAUUUAUUUUUAUUUUCCUUUCGUUUUGCUUCAUAAUUUUCAGACCAGCAGGAAAGUUUAGGUCCCUGAGAGGCUUAAGAAAACGGUUUGUGUUGCGGCAUUGACCGAAAACGCAAUACUGGGGGGUCCAUGAUGUUGCUUCUGUCUGCAACUCAAAGUACUAAAACACAUACGUCCUGAUCUUACUUCCUUUAUAACAGAAACAGCCUGGUCUUCCUUCUCCUAAAACAGAUACGUCCUGGUCUCAAUUCCUCUAUAACAGAAACAGCCUGGUCUUCCUUCCCCUAAAACACAUACGUCCUGGUCUCAAUUCCUCUAUAACAGAAACAGCCUGGUCUUCCUUCUCCUAAAACAGGUCUUCCUUCCCCUAAAACAGAUACGUCCUGAUCUCUCUUCCUCUAUAACAGAUACAGCCUGGUCUUCCUUCCCCUAAAACAGAUACGUCCUGAUCUCUCUUCCCCUAAAACAGAUUCAUCCUGAUCAUUCUUCCCCUAAAACAGAUACUUCCUGGUUCUUUCUUCCCCUAAAACAAAUAUUCUCGUCUCUCUUCUAAAACAGAUACAUCCUGAUCUCUCUUCCCCUAAAACAGACACUUCCUGGUUCUUCCUUCCCCUAAAACAAAUAUUCUCGUCUCUCUUCCCCUAAAACAGAUACACCCUGAUCCCUCUUCCCCUAAAACAGACACUUCCUGGUUCUUUCUUCCCCUAAAACAAAUAUUCUCGUCUGUCUUCUAAAACAGAUACACCCUGAUCACUCUCCCCCCAAAACAGAUAUUUCCUGGUUCUUCCUUCCCCUAAAACAAAUAUUCUCGUCUCUCUUCCCCUAAAACAGAUACACCCUGAUCUCUCUUCCCCUAAAACAGAUACAUCUUGAUCCCUCUUUCCCUAAAACAUAUACAUUCUGGUCUCGCUUCUAAAACAUAUAUUCUAAUCUUCCUUCCCCCCUAAAAGCUAAACAAUACAAUAAGUUGGUGUUUUUGUGGUAAAAUCUUCAUAUAUUACCAUUAUCUCCCCUCAAACUAGCCUACUGCUCUGAUACAGGUGAUACAGAUAGGCUAUUUAAUUACUACAUCGCCUAUUUACCUAACCACUAAGACAGCUCAGGUAGGCAAUUUAAUUAGUCUUUACCUGUCCUAAUCUAACGUUACUGUCUAUGCUUUUUGCAGUUAUUACGCCUGUCUCUUUCUACCUGUUGAUUUUGACCAGGUAAAGUUUAAUUGGUUUUGCUUAUUGGUUUAACUUGCUUUUUUUUCCCGAUCGUUGACUUUAGAUAAUGUUUUUUUUUUCUUUAUUUCCUCUACUUCUUUUACUUCAUUAGCAUUUUCUACAUUAUUUUUUUUUUCUUGUUUUCUUCUCCUCCUCCUCCUUCCUCUUUUUCUUCUUCUUCUUCUUUUUCUUCUUCGUCAGCAUUUUCUACACAAUAUUUUUUUUUCUUCUCUUCAUUAGCGUUCAUGUCACGGAAGGGGAUUCGAACGCGGGACAGGUAUGAUACAGGUAAGUUAGAACCACACGCCAACCCCCUUAAGAGUUAAUUAAGCAACUAUUUACCUUGAAUCACCUUGAGAGGCACUGCAAAGAGGGGGGGGGGGAGAAGGGGGGGAGGGGACAGAUGUAAACACACACACACACACACACACACACACACACACACACACACACACACACACACGGAAUGGUUGGUCUAUUAACCAAAAAAAUAAAAAAAGGUUAAAAAGUGAUAUGAGAGAAGGCCGCAGGUGCUCAGAGGGUUAAUUAGUGAGGUAAGGACAGGUGAAAGAGAGAGAGAGAGAGAGAGAGAGAGAGAGAGAGAGAGAGAGAGAGAGAGAGAGAGAGAGAGAGAGAGAGAGAGAGAGAGAA